CUAGACGGCACAAGGCGUCGGCGAUUUUGGACCUCCCCGCUGCCCUACAUCGUCCCUUCAAAUCCCAGACAGUGGUGUGUGCUGAGUUUUGAUUACCAUGAGAUGCGAGACUGGUGAAAGAAGAUGUUGUCCCGACGGAUGGUGCCUACUUACAGGAAGGAGCCAUGGAGAUCGACAUGUGGCCCAAAGUACCAGGAAAUUGUGAACAUCCGAAUGAGUGAUGGUACUAAUCGGCGUGGUCUGGUUCUAGAAGUUGAUGCUGAAAGAGGUGUUGUGCAGGUCUUUGAAGCCAGGCACUUCAUGAAUAGACACCAAAAGUUCAUCGGCG